UUUUUAUGAGAGUUUGAUCCUGGCUCAGGAUGAACGCUGGCGGCGUGCUUAACACAUGCAAGUCGAACGAAGCAUUUAGAACAGAUUAUUUCGGUAUGAAGUUCUUUAUGACUGAGUGGCGGACGGGUGAGUAACGCGUGGGUAACCUGCCUUGUACUGGGGGAUAGCAGCUGGAA
rnacentral:rRNA from 1 species